rnacentral:rRNA from 1 species
UACAGAGGGUGCUAGCGUUGUUCGGAAUCAUUGGGCGUAAAGGGCGUGUAGGCGGUUUGUUAAGUCAUGUGUGAAAUCCCUCGGCUCAACCGGGGAACGACGCAUGAAACUGGCAAGCUAGAGUACCAAAGAGGGGGGUGGAAUUCCCGGUGUAGCGGUGAAAUGCGUAGAUAUCGGAAGGAACACCAGUGGCGAAAGCGGCUUCCUGGUCCAGCACCGACGUUCAGGCACGAAAGCGUGGGGAGCAAACAGG